GCUUGUCUCAAAGAUUAAGCCAUGCAUGUCUAAGUAUAAGCAUUAUACAGUGAAACUGCGAAUGGCUCAUUAUAUCAGUUAUAGUUUAUUUGAUAGUCACACUACUUGGAUAACCGUAGUAAUUCUAGAGCUAAUACAUGCACAAAGUCCUGACCUCUGGAAAGGAUGUGUUUAUUAGAUACAACCAACCCUUCGGGUCCCUGGUGAAUCAUAAUAAUUGAGCGAACCGCAUGCUUCGGCGGCGGUGGUUCAUUCAAGUUUCUGCCCUAUCAGCUUUGGAUGGUAGGGUAUUGGCCUACCAUGGCUUUAACGGGUAACGGAGAAUUAGGGUUCGAUUCCGGAGAGGGAGCCUGAGAAAUGGCUACCACAUCCAAGGAAGGCAGCAGG
rnacentral:rRNA from 1 species